CGUGUCCUCCGCACAGUCCGCCCUGUCGGAGCCCGGACCGCCGCUCCAGCGCUCCAGCCGUUUGAACGAGAUGCUCCGGAGGCCACCCCCCCCGUCUGAUUCCCAAUCACAGCCCCUACGGGGUUCGGAGUCCUCGCAGAAGCGGGUCCAUGUACUACUCUGCGAAGCGAGGAAGGCUCCGGAGCUGAAGAGCCUCCCAAACUCUGAGCUAGUUCUGGCAAUGCAUGUGU